rnacentral:rRNA from 1 species
GACGAACGUUGGCGGCGUGCUUAACACAUGCAAGUCGAACGGAAAGGCCCUGCUUUUGUGGGGUGCUCGAGUGGCGAACGGGUGAGUAACACGUGAGUAACCUGCCCUUGACUUUGGGAUAACUUCAGGAAACUGGGGCUAAUACCGGAUAGGAGCUCCUGCUGCAUGGUGGGGGUUGGAAAGUUUCGGCGGUUGGGGAUGGACUCGCGGCUUAUCAGCUUGUUGGUGGGGUAGUGGCUUACCAAGGCUUUGACGGGUAGCCGGCCUGAGAGGGUGACCGGCCACAUUGGGACUGAGAUACGGCCCAGACUCCUACGGGAGGCAGCAGUGGGGAAUAUUGCACAAUGGGCGGAAGCCUGAUGCAGCAACGCCGCGUGCGGGAUGACGGCCUUCGGGUUGUAAACCGCUUUCGCCUGUGACGAAGCGUGAGUGACGGUAAUGGGUAAAGAAGCACCGGCUAACUACGUGCCAGCAGCCGCGGUGAUACGUAGGGUGCGAGCGUUGUCCGGAUUUAUUGGGCGUAAAGGGCUCGUAGGUGGUUGAUCGCGUCGGAAGUGUAAUCUUGGGGCUUAACCCUGAGCGUGCUUUCGAUACGGGUUGACUUGAGGAAGGUAGGGGAGAAUGGAAUUCCUGGUGGAGCGGUGGAAUGCGCAGAUAUCAGGAGGAACACCAGUGGCGAAGGCGGUUCUCUGGGCCUUUCCUGACGCUGAGGAGCGAAAGCGUGGGGAGCGAACAGGCUUAGAUACCCUGGUAGUCCACGCUGUAAACGGUGGGUACUAGGUGUGGGGUCCAUUCCACGGGUUCCGUGCCGUAGCUAACGCUUUAAGUACCCCGCCUGGGGAGUACGGCCGCAAGGCUAAAACUCAGAGGAAUUGACGGGGCCCCGCACAAGCGGCGGAGCAUGCGGAUUAAUUCGAUGCAACGCGUAGAACCUUACCUGGGUUUGACAUGGAUCGGGAGUGCUCAGAGAUGGGUGUGCCUCUUUUGGGGUCGGUUCACAGGUGGUGCAUGCCUGUCGUCAGCUCGUGUCGUGAGAUGUUGGGUUAAGUCCCGCAACGAGCGCAACCCUUGUUCACUGUUGCCAGCACGUUAUGGUGGGGACUCAGUGGAGACCGCCGGGGUCAACUCGGAGGAAGGUGGGGAUGACGUCAAGUCCUCAUGCCCCUUAUGUCCAGGGCUUCACGCAUGCUACAAUGGCUGGUACAGAGAGUGGCGAGCCUGUGAGGGUGAGCGAAUCUCGGAAAGCCGGUCUCAGUUCGGAUUGGGGUCUGCAACUCGACCUCAUGAAGUCGGAGUCGCUAGUAAUCGCAGAUCAGCAACGCUGCGGUGAAUACGUUCCCGGG